rnacentral:rRNA from 1 species
GAUGAACGCUGGCGGCGUGCCUAAUACAUGCAAGUCGAGCGAACAGAUGAGGAGCUUGCUCCUCUGACGUUAGCGGCGGACGGGUGAGUAACACGUGGAUAACCUACCUAUAAGACUGGGAUAACUUCGGGAAACCGCAGCUAAUACCGGAUAAUAUAUUGAACCGCAUGGUUCAAUAGUGAAAGACGGUUUUGCUGUCACUUAUAGAUGGAUCCGCGCCGCAUUAGCUAGUUGGUAAGGUAACGGCUUACCAAGGCAACGAUGCGUAGCCGACCUGAGAGGGUGAUCGGCCACACUGGAACUGAGACACGGUCCAGACUCCUACGGGAGGCAGCAGUAGGGAAUCUUCCGCAAUGGGCGAAAGCCUGACGGAGCAACGCCGCGUGAGUGAUGAAGGUCUUCGGAUCGUAAAACUCUGUUAUUAGGGAAGAACAAAUGUGUAAGUAACUAUGCACGUCUUGACGGUACCUAAUCAGAAAGCCACGGCUAACUACGUG